rnacentral:tRNA from 1 species
UCCCUGGUGGUCCAGUGGUUAAGACUGCGCUUUCAAUGCAGGGGGCCUGGGUUUUAUCCCUGGUCAGGGAA